AACAACGAACAAUCUCUGAGUUAGUCAUCUCAAGAUUUAAGACGGCAGGUGCCAUCGGUGGAUGAUGGAAUUUGGCUCAUAGAUGAUGAGGGUGCUCUGAUAAAAAAAAGAUGCUGAACUACUUGUGCAGACAUACAGAGCAUGCCACCAGGUACUGAGAUUCACAUUGAAGUCAAUGAGAAUAUGGUGCCAUGUAAUAUGCCAGAGUCUAUUAUGCUUGGUUCAUACUUAGGGGUUGUAGCUAGAGAUCCUAUUUUGGCAUCAAUCUCAUUUGUAGAUUGGUGUAAUAAAGGUAUGGAACCAUUUAAAAAGAGGAUGCUAGCUAAAGUAGAGGCCAAGUUUGAGUUCCCCGCAAGUAUAAAAUAUUGGAUACUACAAUCUCUUGGUGCCAAGUGGCGCAACUACAAAACUAAUUUGAAGGCAUAGCACUGGGAUAGUAGACCAUUACAAGAGAUCAUGGAGACUGUCCCUGCAGGAGUAGAUCCAGUGUAGUGGUGUCAGCUUUUUAGUAGAUGAUCACAACCUCAGGAUAAAGAGAGGGCAGCAAGAAAUCUGGAAAAUGCAAAAAAAACAAACGUGUCCGCAUACGAUGGGUCGGGUGAGCUCCGUAAGGAGACAGAAAGAAACGUCUAUACGAGAUCGUCUGUUAUUAUGGAAAAUCAAUUGCACGCAUAAAAAUGGAUCAUGGUCAUCUGAGGAGGCAAGACAAAAAUGGGCACAUGCUUCUGAAAUGCUUGCCGAAGAAGUGUUAAUGCUAGAAGAUGGAAAUUUUGAAGCCAAUGAAAAAAUCUUCAAGGCGAUCAUGGGGCUAGAACACCCAGGGAGGGUACGAACACAAGGUUUUGGGUUAUUCCAAGCAGAUAUUUUCCUCAUAGCACCACGGAUCCAGGAAGUAGUAGUCAAGGCAAUACUAUAUUUGAUCGAGUUGUAAGACUUGCGGAGGUGGUGCAAACAUUGCAAAGUGAGAUGAGACAAUUCAUGAAUAAUUACCAGGGACAACAUCCGCCACCAAGACGUUCAAAUAUGGGAGAUAAUGAUCAAUUUUCGCCUAAUUGACAUCCAUGGUGUAGAAGAAGGGAAUAAAUAAUAUACAUAGACACGAUAUUUUCAUCAUGUAUAGCCGAUGGUUUGUUUUGAAAUGUUAGAAAUAAUUUUGAUUUUUUGUUUGGCUAUAGAUAGUAAUUUUUGUGAUGCAUGUUAAACUUUUUUCAUUUCCACUCUAAGGUUUUCUUGACAACUUAUGUCAUUUGUACAACGAUUUUUGUUGUUACUUAGCACAAAAUUUGUCAUUUCUGCUCUAAAUUCUUGUCAACAAUGCUUC